UUUUCAGGGUGCAAGAAGUAGUCCAGCGGUGCAAAUCGUACACACCGAAGUGCCUUUCCGGGAGUUAACUGUUUUUUUUUUUCUCGUUCGCUGCCACUUGCUGAUGGGGCCAAACUCCCCGGUGAAACUCAGCAUAACUUCUGCCGGAAAUGCGUCGACAGCUACGACAAAGCAGGUGACCGUGUCUUUCAGUGGAAUUGGUGCACAGGGACAAACCUGAGUUCACCAAACAACAGCAAUCGGAGUCCCAAGGGGGUAGAUCAGCAACGGCAUCAGAAUCCAAACCAGCAGCAACUUUAGCAUCAACAAUACAAGGGAGUUAGAUUCCGUUCGGCAAAAUGGAUCCACUGUUCAUUCAAGGGCAAGCCACCAAUAGGAAGAACAGAACAAACUGGUAAAAUGUUUCGCGGACAAUUCGGCUAUCAUGAGUGAGUUCAACACAACAUAGAGGACCGGAAUGACAACUACCAGAGAAGCCAUAGGACAAAGCACUGGCGUUGCUCAAACAGAGAUGUCGUCGACAUCCACAGGAUUAUGGGCGAAGCCAAAUAGGGCACGCAUUCCACCCUUCUAUGUCCGUUGAAAAAAACAUAAACUAUGCUACUUAAUCGGACGCUUAUUUUUUUUUAAAUACUUCCAACAUCCUCGAACAGCCAUGUUGAUGGCAAGGACAACUUCUAGUGGAUUUUCUUUAAUCUUGACUGCCGAAUAUAUUAAGAACCUCUCUAUUAUACUACUAAUUAGGUACCUCAAACUAAAUUUAUUAAAGGAUUCUUCGAAUUAGUUCGGAAACCAUUGAAACAUUUCUCUAGAGAUUCCCAACAUUUUUCCAAGAAUUUUCUCAAUAACCUACACCAACUGCAGGCCAAAUUUCAAAAGCAAUCUUAAGUAGUGGGCCAUUUUUUUUUCAAGGCAGCAAUUCCAAAACUGUUGUUAACUCGAAUAUAAAUGAUAAUAAUUUCUAUAGGAAUAAUUAAAAAUAUAUUUACCGAA